rnacentral:misc_RNA from 1 species
AACGCACAUUGCGCCCCGUGGUAUUCCGCGGGGCAUGCCUGUUCGAGCGUCAUUUCACCACUCGAGUCUGACUCGGUAUUGGGCGCCGCGAUCCGUCGCGCGCCUCAAAGUUUCCGGCUGGGCGACCCGUCUCCGAGCGUUGUGGCAUCAAGUCUCGCUAGGGAGUCGCGGGUGGCGUUGGCCGUUAAACACCCCAUCAAAGGUUGACCUCGGAUCAGGUAGGGAUACCCGCUGAACUUAA